rnacentral:rRNA from 1 species
AUUGAACGCUGGCGGCAUGCUUUACACAUGCAAGUCGAACGGCAGCGGGGGCUUCGGCCUGCCGGCGAGUGGCGAACGGGUGAGUAAUGCAUCGGAACGUGCCCAUGUCGUGGGGGAUAACGUAUCGAAAGGUACGCUAAUACCGCAUACGUCCUGAGGGGGAAAGCGGGGGAUCUUCGGACCUCGCGCGAUUGGAGCGGCCGAUGUCGGAUUAGCUAGUUGGUGAGGUAAAGGCUCACCAAGGCGACGAUCCGUAGCGGGUCUGAGAGGAUGAUCCGCCACACUGGGACUGAGACACGGCCCAGACUCCUACGGGAGGCAGCAGUGGGGAAUUUUGGACAAUGGGCGCAAGCCUGAUCCAGCCAUGCCGCGUGAGUGAAGAAGGCCUUCGGGUUGUAAAGCUCUUUCGGCCGGGAAGAAAUCGUGUUCUCUAACAUAGGGCAUGGAUGACAGUACCGGGAGAAUAAGCUCCGGCUAACUUCGUGCCAGCCGCCGCCGUAACAC